rnacentral:rRNA from 1 species
GACGAACGCUGGCGGCGUGCUUAACACAUGCAAGUCGAACGAAGAGCGAUGGAAGCUUGCUUCUAUCAAUCUUAGUGGCGAACGGGUGAGUAACGCGUAAUCAACCUGCCCUUCAGAGGGGGACAACAGUUGGAAACGACUGCUAAUACCGCAUACGAUCUGACCUCGGCAUCGAGGAUAGAUGAAAGGUGACCUCUACAUGUAAGCUAUCACUGAAGGAGGGGAUUGCGUCUGAUUAGCUAGUUGGAGGGGUAACGGCCCACCAAGGCGAUGAUCAGUAGCCGGUCUGAGAGGAUGAACGGCCACAUUGGGACUGAGACACGGCCCAGACUCCUACGGGAGGCAGCAGUGGGGAAUCUUCCGCAAUGGACGAAAGUCUGACGGAGCAACGCCGCGUGAGUGAUGACGGCCUUCGGGUUGUAAAGCUCUGUUAAUCGGGACGAAAGGCCUUUUUGCGAAUAGUGAGAAGGAUUGACGGUACCGGAAUAGAAAGCCACGGCUAACUACGUG